CAGACAGAAUACCAACACUCCCAGUACACAUUGUUUACUGAGUGUGUCAACAGCAUGUGACUUGGGUGCUUAGGAGGCGGAGGCGGGAGAUUCAGGAAUUCAAGCCUUCUUAUUCACAGGGAUUAGAGGCCUGAGGUCACCUCAGUGGGUACUGAGGAUAAUUCCAUUCCAAAGCAAGAGUCAUGGCAAGCAUCAAACGUCUACUGGCUGUCGCUGCCUGGUGAUUUCUAACAGUGCCUGGAUCUGUUCACGCUUGUACCUUCUCGCAUUUAUAGCAGGACCUGACUCAAAAUGUGUGUGGACACACUGGUGACAGUGGCCUUGGCUUCCACAAUACCCAGCAGGGUCUCAUGAAUCCCGGACUGGUCUGAGUUUGCUAUGCUGACUAUAAAUUUGAACUCUUGCUUUGGGUCCUCUGGCUUUCAGCUCCUGAGUGCUGGGAUUACAGGCAUCUGCCAAGAAGGUUGGCUUUGUGAUGCCAAGGUUGGUUUGUGUGAUGCUGAGAAUCAAACUCAGGGCUUCCUGCCUGCUAGGUGAGUGCUCUAGCAAGUGAAUUACACCCCACACCUGGUGGUUUUCUUUUUGCUUUUUGUUCUUCAGGGUAGGGGUUGGUGCUUGUUACUGGGGUUGGCUAUGAGCU